GAGAAGGGGCGGGGCCGAAGCCGGUUGCCAGGGUGUCGCGGAGCGGCUGGGAAGGAGGGGCUGGGAAUCUUGGAGCCCCUUGGCCCGCGGGGAAAGCGGGUGACCCGCCCUGCAAGUGGGAUGCCCCCUUCGGCCUUCUGGAGCGCAGAGCAAUGCACUCUGAAGCCGGAGGGUAGAAAGUGCUGGAAUGCGCGCCCGGGCCCAGGCUGUCGCGAGCCUUCAGCAAGCCAGUGCACACAGAGAGGGCUGCCCAGAGAUCCCGGUCAGCGCUCGCAGUUCGAGGUGGAACAUGGAGGCUGUCUCCCCGGCAAGGGUGCCCACUGCAAGCACAGGCGUGAGAAAUGGCCCAGAAAAGAGUGGUCAGGGCAAUGUGUUCUUGGCACGCCCAGCAAGACCUGCCAGAGGGACCUACAGACGAGUGUCUCCCAGCUAUCUUACCAGCGGGGACCUUGAGGUCCAAGUAUCCAGUCCGGUUAGAAAUGGCCGCGGAUCCAACAGGUGCUGGUGAGUGGGAGAAUACCCCUGAGGGAGGAAGAACAGAGGCCGGGAGGGAGCUGAGUGGAUGUAGAUGAGAAAUACCUGGACAGCUGCAAGCUGUAGUCAGUGAUGGGCAACUGGAACCAGAGAUUCCAGAGAGAGGGAGGGAGAAAGAGGGAGGAGAAGGGAGAAUGAGAAAGAGAGGGAGAGAGAAUGGGGGGGAGAAAGAGGGAGAAUGGGGGAGAGAGGUAGGAGCAAGUUCUGGACCACGCCAAGGAUGGAGCUGUGGUCCUGGAACCAGAUGUCCAGGGAAUGGGAUGAAGUGACACUGGCUGGGGCCGAGGCUGCAGACUGCUGGUGGGAGCUGGCAGGACAAUGAGGAUUCUGAACCAGGUGCCUGAGCCUUCUGUGGAUAUGGGGAGUGACUUGGAUGUCUAUAAAUUCCAGAAAUGAUAGGAGGGAUAGAUGAUGGAGGGACUGUAUUUUAGACAAUAAACAAAUUUCACUCAGUA
rnacentral:lncRNA from 1 species